UAAAAAAAUUUUUAAAAAUAUUUAAUGGGGGUUAAAGUAUUUUUAAAGAAAAAAUUAAUUAAUUUAUAGUAAAUUAGUAUUGUGAAAGAAUUUUGAAAUAUUUUUGAAAUAAAAAUUUAUUUAAAAGUAAUUUUAAUUUAAUGUAUCUUGGGUAUCAGAGUUUAUUAAAAAUUAUUUAUAAAAAAAAAAUUCUCGAAUUUAAAAGAGAUAAUUAAUUAUAAAAGUUAUUGUAGCAUAAAUAUUUUUAAUAAUUAAUUUGAAAUGAGAUGUUAAUCGUUUUUAAAUAUAUCUAGUUUUCUUAGAAAAAAAUUUAAUUUUAAAUUUUUUUAAAAGAAAUUUAAUUAAUUAAAUUUCUUUUAAAAAAAAUUUUAUAUUUUAAGGGAUAAGCUUUAAUUUAAAUUUAUAAAUAUUAUUAAAAAUUAAAAUGAAAAUUAUAUAAUUUAUAUUGUUAAUAAAUUAUAAUUUUUUAUAAAUAAUUUCAUUUAAAAUAAAAUUUAAUAUAAAAAAUUAUUUUUUUAUAAGAAAAAAUUUAUAAAAAAUAAUAUAAAUAAAUAUAAUGAUAAAAUUAGUAUAUAAAUAAUUUUAAUUAAUAAAUUUUAUGUCAAUUAAUUAAAAGGAAUUCGGCAAAAAAAAAUAAAUUAUAUUCACUUGUUUAUCAAAAACAUGUCUUUUUGUAAUUAAUAUAAAGUCUAAUCUGCCCACUGAUUUUUUAAUUAAAGGGCUGCAGUAUUUUGACUGUACAAAGGUAGCAUAAUCAUUAGUCAUUUAAUUGAUGACUUGUAUGAAAGAUUGGAUGAAAUAUAAACUGUCUCUUAUUUAAUUUAUAAAAUUUAAUUUUUUAAUUAAAAAGUUAAAAUAAUUUAAAAAGACGAGAAGACCCUAUAGAGUUUUAUAAAUAUUUUAAUUAAGAUUAUUUAUAAAAUUAAAAAUUAAAAUUAAUUUAUUUAUUUUGUUGGGGUGAUAGAAAAAUAAAUUUAACUUUUUUUAAUUUUAUACAUAAAUAAUUGAAUUAAUGAUCCAGUAUUAUUGAUUAUAAGAAAAAAUUACCUUAGGGAUAACAGCGUAAUUUUUUUUUUUAGUUCAUAUAAGAAAAAAAGUUUGCGACCUCGAUGUUGGAUUAAGAUAAAAUUUAAAUGCAGAAGUUUAAAAUUUUUGAUCUGUUCGAUCAUUAAAAUCUUACAUGAUCUGAGUUCAAACCGGUGUGAGCCAGGUUGGUUUCUAUCUUUUAAAUAUUAAAAUAUUUUAGUACGAAAGGAUUAAAUAUUUAAAUUAAAUUUAUAUUUUUGAAUAUUAAUAAAAGU
rnacentral:rRNA from 1 species